rnacentral:rRNA from 1 species
GGUUAAGCGAAUGAAGCGUACACGGUGGAUGCCUAGGCAGUCAGAGGCGAUGAAGGACGUGCUAAUCUGCGAAAAGCGUCGGUAAGCUGAUAUGAAGCGUUAUAGCCGGCGAUGUCCGAAUGGGGAAACCCAGUGCAUUAAUGCACUAUCGUUUGAUGAAUUCAUAGUCAAACGAGGCGAACCGGGGGAACUGAAACAUCUCAGCACCCCGAGGAAAAGAAAUCAACCGAGAUUCCCCUAGUAGCGGCGAGCGAACGGGGAGUAGCCCAGAGUCAGCAUCGAUAUUAGCAUCAGGAGAAGGGUCUGGAAAGGCCAGCCAUAAAGGGUGACAGCCCCGUAUCCGAAGGUGUUAGUAUCGUGAGCUCGAAGAGUAGGGCGGGACACGUGUUAUCCUGUCUGAAUAAGGGGGGACCAUCCUCCAAGGCUAAAUACUCCUGACUGACCGAUAGUGAACCAGUACCGUGAGGGAAAGGCGAAAAGAACCCCGGCGAGGGGAGUGAAAGAGAACCUGAAACCGUGUACGUACAAGCAGUGGGAGCCGGUGACUGCGUACCUUUUGUAUAAUGGGUCAGCGACUUAUAUUCUGUAGCAAGGUUAACCGUAUAGGGGAGCCGUAGGGAAACCGAGUCUUAACUGGGCGUCAAGUUGCAGGGUAUAGACCCGAAACCCGGUGAUCUAGCCAUGGGCAGGUUGAAGGUUGGGUAACACUAACUGGAGGACCGAACCGACUAAUGUUGAAAAAUUAGCGGAUGACUUGUGGCUGGGGGUGAAAGGCCAAUCAAACCGGGAGAUAGCUGGUUCUCCCCGAAAGCUAUUUAGGUAGCGCCUCGUGAAUUCAUCUUCGGGGGUAGAGCACUGUUUCGGCUAGGGGGUCAUCCCGACUUACCAACCCGAUGCAAACUCCGAAUACCGAAGAAUGUCAUCACGGGAGACACACGGCGGGUGCUAACGUCCGUCGUGAAGAGGGAAACAACCCAGACCGCCAGCUAAGGUCCCCAAGUCAUGGUUAAGUGGGAAACGAAGUGGGAAGGCUUAGACAGCCAGGAUGUUGGCUUAGAAGCAGCCAUCAUUUAAAGAAAGCGUAAUAGCUCACUGGUCGAGUCGGCCUGCGCGGAAGAUGUAACGGGGCUAAACCAUGCACCGAAGCUGCGGCAGCAACAGCAAUGUUGUUGGGUAGGGGAGCGUUCUGUAAGCCGUUGAAGGUGGACUGAGAGGUCUGCUGGAGGUAUCAGAAGUGCGAAUGCUGACAUAAGUAACGAUAAAGCGGGUGAAAAACCCGCUCGCCGAAAGACCAAGGGUUCCUGUCCAACGUUAAUCGGGGCAGGGUAAGUCGACCCCUAAGGCGAGGCUGAAAAGCGUAGUCGAUGGGAAACGGGUUAAUAUUCCCGUACUAAGGGUUACUGCGAAGUGGGGACGGAGAAGGCUAGGCUAUCCGGGCGACGGUUGUCCCGGUUUAAGCGUGUAGGUGGGUCGUGCAGGCAAAUCCGUACGACUAUAACACUGAGGCGUGAUGACGAGCCACCAAGGUGGUGAAGUAGUUGAUGCCCAGCUUCCAGGAAAAGCCGCUAAGCGAUAGGUAAUCCUUAAUCGUACCCCAAACCGACACAGGUGGUUAGGUAGAGAAUACUCAGGCGCUUGAGAGAACUCGGGUGAAGGAACUAGGCAAAAUGGUGCCGUAACUUCGGGAGAAGGCACGCUGGCGUUAGGUGAAAUGGUUAACCCAUGGAGCUGAAGCCAGUCGCAGAUACCAGCUGGCUGCAACUGUUUAUUAAAAACACAGCACUGUGCAAACACGAAAGUGGACGUAUACGGUGUGACGCCUGCCCGGUGCUGGAAGGUUAAUUGAUGGGGUAAGCCGUAAGGCGAAGCUCUUGAUCGAAGCCCCAGUAAACGGCGGCCGUAACUAUAACGGUCCUAAGGUAGCGAAAUUCCUUGUCGGGUAAGUUCCGACCUGCACGAAUGGCGUAAUGAUGGCUAGGCUGUCUCCACCCGAGACUCAGUGAAAUUGAACUCGCUGUGAAGAUGCAGUGUACCCGCGGCAAGACGGAAAGACCCCGUGAACCUUUACUAUAGCUUGACACUGAACAUUGAGCCUUGAUGUGUAGGAUAGGUGGGAGGCUAAGAAGUGUGGACGCCAGUUCGCAUGGAGCCAACGUUGAAAUACCACCCUUUAAUGUUUGAUGUUCUAACUUAGGUCCGUUAUCCGGGCUGAGGACAGUGUCUGGUGGGUAGUUUGACUGGGGCGGUCUCCUCCCAAAGUGUAACGGAGGAGCACGAAGGUUGGCUAAUCACGGUCGGACAUCGUGAGGUUAGUGCAAAGGCAUAAGCCAGCUUGACUGCGAGCGUGACGGCGCGAGCAGGUACGAAAGUAGGUCUUAGUGAUCCGGUGGUUCUGAAUGGAAGGGCCAUCGCUCAACGGAUAAAAGGUACUCCGGGGAUAACAGGCUGAUACCGCCCAAGAGUUCAUAUCGACGGCGGUGUUUGGCACCUCGAUGUCGGCUCAUCACAUCCUGGGGCUGAAGUAGGUCCCAAGGGUAUGGCUGUU